rnacentral:rRNA from 1 species
GGGGAAUAUUGCGCAAUGGGGGAAACCCUGACGCAGCAACGCCGCGUGAGGGAAGAAGGUCUUCGGAUUGUAAACCUUUGUCCUUGGUGACGAAACAAAUGACGGUAGCCAAGGAGGAAGCUCCGGCUAACUACGUGCCAGCAGCCGCGGUAAUACGUAGGGAGCAAGCGUUGUCCGGAUUUACUGGGUGUAAAGGGUGCGUAGGCGGCUCUGCAAGUCAGGCGUGAAAACUAUGGGCUUAACCCAUAGACUGCGUUUGAAACUGUGGGGCUUGAGUGAAGUAGAGGUAGGCGGAAUUCCCGGUGUAGCGGUGAAAUGCGUAGAGAUCGGGAGGAACACCAGUGGCGAAGGCGGCCUACUGGGCUUUAACUGACGCUGAAGCACGAAAGCAUGGGUAGCAAAC